rnacentral:misc_RNA from 1 species
UACGUAGGUGGCUAGCGUUGCUCGGAAUCACUGGGCAUAAAGGGUCCGUAGGCGGUUUAGUAAGUCGGGUGUGAAAGCCCCGGGCUCAACCCGGGAACUGCGCCCGAAACUACUUUACUUGAGCGCCGGAGGGGAGUGUGGAACUCCUGGUGGAGCGGUGAAAUGCGUAGAGAUCAGGAGGAACGCCGGUGGCGAAAGCGACACUCUGGACGGUGGCUGACGCUGAGGGACGAAAGCUAGGGGAGCGAACGGG